rnacentral:other from 2 species
UAUUGAAUCAAAUAAAUUUAAUCACUAUGCCAACCUUUUAUAGGCGUAGUGAUAUAAACGAAUUGCUGUGUGUAGUCUUUGCCUGUCAGCCCAUGAUAGGCUUUUUUUUUG